UACGUAGGGUGCAAGCGUUAAUCGGAAUUACUGGGCGUAAAGCGUGCGCAGGCGGUGAUGUAAGACAGGAUGUGAAAUCCCCGGGCUCAACCUGGGAACUGCAUUUGUGACUGCAUCGCUGGAGUGCGGCAGAGGGGGAUGGAAUUCCGCGUGUAGCAGUGAAAUGCGUAGAUAUGCGGAGGAACACCGAUGGCGAAGGCAAUCCCCUGGGCCUGCACUGACGCUCAUGCACGAAAGCGUGGGGAGCAAACAGG
rnacentral:rRNA from 1 species